CACCGCGGCUAUACGAAAGACCAAGCUGACAGGAACCGGCGUAAAGAGUGGUUAGGCAUAAAAUCAACUAAGGUUGAACAUCUUCUUGGCCGUUUAACGCAUUUGAAGACAAGAAACACCAUCACGAAAGUAACCUUAAAUAUCUGACUCCACGAAAGCUAUGAAACAAACUGGGAUUAGAUACCCCACUAUGCAUAGCCGUAAACAUAGAUACCACCAUACACUUAUUAUCCGCCUGGGUACUAUAAGCAUAAGCUCGAAACCCAAAGGACCUGGCGGUGCUUUAAAACCACCUAGAGGAGCCUGUUCUAGAACUGAUAAUCCCCACUCAACCUCACCCUUCCUUGCCAAUACCGCCUAUAUACCGCCGUCGUCAGCUUACCCUAUGAAGGCAUAACAGUGAGCAAAAUCGGUACAACCUAAAACGUCAGGUCGAGGUGUAGUGAAUGGAAGGGGAAGAAAUGGGCUACAUUUGUUUAUUAACACACUACGAAUUAAAUGUUGAAAUACAUUUUUGAAGGAGGAUUUAGCAGUAAGGAGAAAAUAGAAUAUUCACCUGAAACCGGCUCUAAAGCACGCACACACCGCCCGUCACUCUCCCCUCGCACACAGACAAGAUAAAUAAACAAACAACCAGCUAAAGGGGAGGCAAGUCGUAA
rnacentral:rRNA from 1 species